UACGAAGGGGGCUAGCGUUGUUCGGAAUCACUGGGCGUAAAGCGCACGUAGGCGGACUGUUAAGUCGGGGGUGAAAUCCUGAGGCUCAACCUCAGAACUGCCUCCGAUACUGGCGGUCUCGAGUUCGGAAGAGGUUGGUGGAACAGCUAGUGUAGAGGUGAAAUUCGUAGAUAUUAGCUAGAACACCAGUGGCGAAGGCG
rnacentral:rRNA from 1 species